UGCGCCUUGCCAGCCCGCUCAGAAACUUAAAGGAAUUGACGGGGCCCGCACAAGCGGAGGAACAUGUGGUUUAAUUCGAUGAUACGCGAGGAACCUUACCUGGGCUAGAACGCAUUCGGAAUCAGGCCGAAAGGCCUGCGCCAGCGAUGGCCGCUUGCGAGGUGCUGCAUGGUUGUCGUCAGCUCGUGCCGUGAGGUGUCGGGUUAAGUCCCAUAACGAGCGCAACCCCUACUGCUAGUUGCCAGCGGGUCAUGCCGGGGACUCUAGCGGAACUGCCAGCGUAAGCUGCGAGGAAGGUGGGGAUGACGUCAAAUCAGCACGGCCCUUACGUCCAGGGCUACACACGUGUUACAAUGGCCGGUACAGAGGGCAGCCACCCCGCGAGGGGGCGCGAAUCCCGAAAGCCGGUCCCAGUUCGGAUCGGAGUCUGCAACCCGACUCCGUGAAGCUGGAUUCGCUAGUAAUCGCGCAUCAGCCACGGCGCGGUGAAUACGUUCCCGGGCCUU
rnacentral:rRNA from 1 species